rnacentral:rRNA from 1 species
AGUGAACGCUGGCGGUAGGCCUAACACAUGCAAGUCGAACGGCAGCACAGAGGAGCUUGCUCCUUGGGUGGCGAGUGGCGGACGGGUGAGGAAUACAUCGGAAUCUACUCUGUCGUGGGGGAUAACGUAGGGAAACUUACGCUAAUACCGCAUACGACCUACGGGUGAAAGCAGGGGACCUUCGGGCCUUGCGCGAUUGAAUGAGCCGAUGUCGGAUUGGCUAGUUGGCGGGGUAAAGGCCCACCAAGGCGACGAUCCGUAGCUGGUCGGAGAGGAUGAUCAGCCUCACUGGAACUGAGACACGGUCCAGACUCCUACGGGAGGCAGCAGUGGGGAAUAUUGGACAAUGGGCGCAAGCCUGAUCCAGCCAUACCGCGUGGGUGAAGAAGGCCUUCGGGUUGUAAAGCCCUUUUGUUGGGAAAGAAAUCCAGCUGGCUAAUACCCGGUUGGGAUGACGGUGCCCAAAGAAUAAGCACCGGCUAACUUCGUGCCAGCAGCCGCCGUAA